AAAUUUGAAACUAUAUCUUGGUAUAAAAUCAUUAUUUAUAGAUAUUAGUUCUGAUAUGUAUUAGUUGAUUCAAUGUUUAUUACUGAUGAUAAAAUAAACUAUAUUUACAAAUGAUUAAUAUUAAACAUCACGAACACUAAUCUCUACAACACAUUUAAAGUAUUGUUUAUACAAACAUCCAUAAGUGUAGUUCAUAAAUAUUCUUUUAUUAAAGCAAUAACCAAUUUGAAACUAUAAUUGUUAACUAUUUUGCAAUAUGUUGCUCAUCAACUAUUAAGGUCAUGGUGAUAAGUUUGAAUGAUGUUUUGAAGUGUAUUUGAAUGCCUAGAGGUUCCUUGAGACAUAACUUGGGACUGUUUGUAAGUAUAGCCAAAAUUGUGCCUAUAUGUUAACUGUUAUAGCAAAAAAUCACACUGCUUGAAUUCCCUUCAAAAGAUCACAAUUGUCCCCCUUUUUUAGCAACUCAAAUCAAUAAACAAUCCCCUUUUUAUGAGGUUGAAUGUGUUUUUAUAAGUCAAAAAGAAAAACGAACAGACACAUAAUUUAUCAACUCACUUAGACCCAACAACCAAAACACACUGCUUGAAUUCAGUUAUAAUCUCACAAAUUCCGUAUGGAGUAUAUGAAAAUUAUUUCCAUUCUACAACUUUUUUAUAAUAAAAAAAAUAUCCUUUAAUCGAAUCCCAAAAAUCAACCAGUGUCACUAACUACUACUACAUCACUCAUAUGUAUGUGUUUCAAUAUAUGCAUAUUACAAUCACCUCCCUGAUUGUAUGUGCCACCAGUCCAAAGAUUAUGAAUUUUGAUUCUUGGUAUAAUUCUUGGUGUCCUUCUGCUAACACAAAAGAGUAAACUUUGAAAUAGAUCCAAUUAAUUCUGAAACUUAAAUGAAAUUAAUUAUUCUACAUUUUGAAUUAAAUAAACCCACGAAGAUACUUCAAGUCAUUGUCAUUAAAUAAGCCCUCUUUACCAAAAAAAAGUAGAAUAAAUUUUGCUAAAGUAUAUAUAAGUAAGAUGUGAAACAAUUAUGACAUCAUUUGCUUUAGUAGAAGCUGUCUUCACUUUUCUUAAUUAAAUGUUUAGUUUGUCGAAUAAGAGUACU
rnacentral:lncRNA from 1 species